UACGUAGGGUGCAAGCGUUAAUCGGAAUUACUGGGCGUAAAGCGUGCGCAGGCGGUUUUGUAAGUCUGAUGUGAAAUCCCCGGGCUCAACCUGGGAAUUGCAUUGGAGACUGCAAGGCUAGAAUCUGGCAGAGGGGGGUAGAAUUCCACGUGUAGCAGUGAAAUGCGUAGAGAUGUGGAGGAACACCGAUGGCGAAGGCAGCCCCCUGGGUCAAGAUUGACGCUCAUGCACGAAAGCGUGGGGAGCAAACAGA
rnacentral:rRNA from 1 species